rnacentral:rRNA from 1 species
UACGUAGGGUGCGAGCGUUAAUCGGAAUUACUGGGCGUAAAGCGUGCGCAGGCGGUUUUGUAAGCCAGAUGUGAAAUCCCCGGGGCUCAACCUGGGAAUGGCAUUUGGGACUGCAAGGCUGGAGUUUGGCAGAGGAGACUGGAAUUCCUGGUGUAGCAGUGAAAAUGCGUAGAUAUCAGGAGGAAUACCGAUGGCGAAGGCAGGUCUCUGGGCUAUAACUGACGCUCAUGC